UCUCCGUUGGUGAACCAGCGGAGGGAUCAUUACCGAGUGUACAACUCUCAAACCCCUGUGGACAUCCCGAUCAUUGCCUCUGCUGUGCCCGCCCCCGCGGCCCGCCAGAGGACCCCCAAACGCUUGUUUUAUACAGCCACUUCUGAGUAACACGAUUAAAUAAAUCAAAACUUUCAACAACGGAUCUCUUGGUUCUG
rnacentral:misc_RNA from 1 species